GGACGGGUAGUCUAGGAAUCACCUUCAGUUAGAUGAUUGGAAAUUGGUUAUGAUGCUGCCCUUACGAGGCAGAGGUCGAGGGUCCAAUUCCCUCCCCGUCCACCA
rnacentral:tRNA from 1 species